AGUCAGAUCCCGGCAGGGAGUCACCUGUUAACCGGUCACGACACACGGGUCCGAGUAGAGAGUAGAUGACAGAAGUUUCUCGAACUUUCUUGCCCGUCCUCCGUCGCUUUCUGGGACCCGCGCGAUGUUUUUCCUCGAUGAUAAUAAUAACACGUCGCUAGAUUGAUUUGCUGUAUAAAAACUCAAAAGUAUAUUGUAAAACAAAACCAUAUUGAAAAAAAAAAAUAAUUUCAGAGAUGUUUUACAGUAGUCUGAAACACAACAUCCGGUCUGAUCACCUGGCUACAGGUAACGUGACGUCAGUGCUUUAGCCACGCCCUACAGUUUUCAUUUGAGCGGAGUUAGCGGAGUGUCACGCUUCUGUGCAGUAAUCCGCUCAUAACAGCGUCGAAGAUGAGCCACGCUCUGCUAGUUAUUUUCUCUCUCAUCAUCGCCAGUGCUGCUGAGUUUCGCCGAUGCUCUCCCCGAUGGCUUAACGCCAGUCAAGUUAAAGUCAGCUGUAGCGACGUCCAGAUUGCACAGUACUGUGAUCCUGAUCAGAGCUGUCGACACACGAGCAAGCCCGGGGUCUCGCUGGAGAAGCACAGGGAAAGAGGACUCUGCCUAACCAUCACCAACUGCUCCUACGAGUCGUGGUCCUGCGAAGCACUGAGUUACAUCCAUGCCGAAGAAUUUGGGGAGACUUUUACUGUCCACGUGACGUGCAACCAACCUACUAGCACGUUGCCCAGUCCAGGACCUACAAGCACUUCAGCAACUUCAGGAUCUGCCAGCACUUUGCCCAGUCCAGGCAAUAAUGAGUCACAGUCAGAGUCUCUUUCAGCUGGGGUCAUUGUGCUGAUCAUCUUUGGGCUGAUCAUCUUUGUGCUUUGCAUCUGUUACAAGAAGGUGAAGUGCUUCAGGAAAGCCAUUCGUGACAUCUUCCGAGUUAUAUACUGUAAUCUUGUGUAACGUUACUAGAACAUGCUAACUAGUUUUCAGUCAGCGGCUAAUAAAACAAGCGCAGGGAAACGACAGAACGGACAGUUACUUCUGUCAUCAACAAAGUAUCAAUAGGACUCCUAGAGAAGAGCAUUUGGUGAUUUGGAAGGCGGGAAGAAAAUCAUGGUGUAAAGUAAUGAUUAAGAAAAACCUACUCCGGGAAUACAACAUGAAGGAGAUCUCUUCUGCCUCCUCAACUUGAAUAUGAUGUGCAAUAGUUAAGUUAAGUGAUAUCCUGGCAUACAAGGCAGUCAACAGACCAUUGUCUUGUUGUAGAGGUCUGCAUGAGAGGUCAUCCCACCUGUACUCAGCAAUCAUAAUCCCGUGCCAAACUGUUGGGUCAGAUCCCAUGGAUGUGCCUUCAAACCUCUACCUUGGUAAACCUACCAGAAGUCUCAAAGUUCUUCUAGAACAGGGUUUUUCUACAUUUUAUGUUUACCUCUGCAACAAAGUCAUGAUAAGCUAAAGUACAUUUUACUCUGCAUAAGAGUGUCUGGCAAAUACUUCUGUUUAUAUAUACUGUGUAUUACGCCACUGUGUUUGAUUGUUACAUGACUGGUUUUGGAAUCAGCAAAGGGACAGUAUUGUAAUCUUGUGCCAUCCUGAGGAGGAGGGCUUCUCCACCCGAACAUCUCCUAAGGUGUAUUCCUCUGUAACUAAACCUUGUGGGGAGUUUUUUGGCUUCUGUCACCUUUGGCUUCUUCACUGGGGGACACAAAGACCACAGUAUGUAUUUUAAGAAGUGCUGCUUAAAAUGUAUUUAUAAAUAUUCAGUAUUUUAGUUUUU